AAAAAAAAAAAACCCGAUGGGGCUUUUCCUGUAGCCUGCACGUCGUUGGAAACGCCUCAUAGAGUAACUCUGUUGGUUUUACUUUACUCACAGGACUAUUGUUAGAUCUGUGGGAAGGAACUACAAGACAGUU
rnacentral:snoRNA from 10 species